rnacentral:ncRNA from 1 species
ACACAGGUUUGGUCCUGGCCUUUCUAUUAAUUCUUAAUAAAAUUACACAUGCAAGCAUCCACGCCCCGGUGAGAAUGCCCUCUAAAUCUUAAAGAUAAAAAGGAGCAGGUAUCAAGCACACCUAAGCGGUAGCUCAUAACGCCUUGCUCAACCACACCCCCACGGGAAACAGCAGUGAUAAAAAUUAAGCCAUGAACGAAAGUUCGACUAAGUUAUAUUAAUUAGAGUUGGUAAAUCUCGUGCCAGCCACCGCGGUCAUACGAUUAACCCAAAUUAAUAGACCUACGGCGUAAAGGGUGUUUAAGAAAAAAAAACAAUAGAGCUAAAUUAUAACUAAGCUGUAAAAAGCCCUAGUUAAAAUAAAAUAACCAACGAAAGUGACUCUAAUAUUUCUGACACACGAUAGCUAGGACCCAAACUGGGAUUAGAUACCCCACUAUGCCUAGCCCUAAACCUAAAUAGUUAUAUAACAAAACUAUUCGCCAGAGUACUACUCGCAACAGCCUAAAACUCAAAGGACUUGGCGGUGCUUCACAUCCACCUAGAGGAGCCUGUUCUAUAAUCGAUAAACCCCGAUAAACCUUACCAACUCUUGCCAAUUCAGCCUAUAUACCGCCAUCUUCAGCAAACCCUAAAAAGGAAUAAUAGUAAGCACAAUCAUUUCACAUAAAAACGUUAGGUCAAGGUGUAGCUUAUGAGUUGGAAAGAAAUGGGCUACAUUUUCUGAACAAGAAUAUUAAUCACGAAAGUUUUUAUGAAAUUAAAAACUAAAGGAGGAUUUAGCAGUAAAUCAAGAAUAGAGUGCUUGAUUGAAUAAGGCCAUGAAGCACGCACACACCGCCCGUCACCCUCCUCAAGCAUAUAGUAAUAAAAAUAACCUAUACUAAAUUACAUAACCAUGUAAGAGGAGACAAGUCGUAACAAGGUAAGCAUACUGGAAAGUGUGCUUGGAUACCAAAGUA